CAGCAGCAGCCGCGGUAAUACGUAGGUGGCAAGCGUUGUCCGGAAUUAUUGGGCGUAAAGGGCUCGCAGGCGGUUUCUUAAGUCUGAUGUGAAAGCCCCCGGCUCAACCGGGGAGGGUCAUUGGAAACUGGGAAACUUGAGUGCAGAAGAGGAGAGUGGAAUUCCACGUGUAGCGGUGAAAUGCGUAGAGAUCGGAAAGAACACCAACGGCGAAAGCACUCUGCUGGGCCGACACUGACACUGAGAGAUGAAAGCUAGGGGAGCAAAUGGGAUUAGAUACCCCUGUAGUCCCUGUCUCUUAUAC
rnacentral:rRNA from 1 species